AGUGAACGCUGGCGGUAGGCCUAACACAUGCAAGUCGAACGGCAGCACAGUAAGAGCUUGCUCUUACGGGUGGCGAGUGGCGGACGGGUGAGGAAUACAUCGGAAUCUACUUUUUCGUGGGGGAUAACGUAGGGAAACUUACGCUAAUACCGCAUACGACCUACGGGUGAAAGCAGGGGAUCUUCGGACCUUGCGCGAUUGAAUGAGCCGAUGUCGGAUUAGCUAGUUGGCGGGGGAAAGGCCCACCAAGGCGACGAUCCGUAGCUGGUCUGAGAGGAUGUUCAGCCACACUGGAACUGAGACACGGUCCAGACUCCUACGGAAGGCAGCAGUGGGGAAUAUUGGACAAUGGGCGCAAGCCUGAUCCAGCCAUACCGCGUGGGUGAAGAAGGCCUUCGGGUGGUAAAGCCCUUUUGUUGGGAAAGAAAGGCAGCAGGUUAAUACCCCGCUGUUCGGACGGUACCCAAAGAAUAAGCACCGGCAAACUUCGU
rnacentral:rRNA from 1 species